AACGAACGCUGGCGGCGCGCCUAAUACAUGCAAGUCGAGCGAGAAGACGUAGCAAUACGUUUGUAAAGCGGCGAACGGGUGAGGAAUACAUGGGUAACCUACCCUCGAGUGGGGAAUAACUAGCCGAAAGGUUAGCUAAUACCGCGUACGCUCCUUGGACUUCGGUUCAGGGAGGAAAGCGAUACCGUGGGUAUCGCGCUCUUGGAUGGGCUCAUGUCCUAUCAGCUUGUUGGUGAGGAACGGCUCACCAAGGCUUCGACGGGUAGCUGGUCUGAGAGGACGAUCAGCCACACUGGCACUGCGACACGGGCCAGACUCCUACGGAGGCAGCAGUAAGGAUAUUGCGCAAUGGGCGAAAGCCUGACGCAGCGACGCCGCGUGGGGGAUGAAGGU
rnacentral:rRNA from 1 species